rnacentral:ncRNA from 1 species
CUUAAUUUGACUCAACACGGGAAAACUCACCCGGUCAGGACACUGUAAGGAUUGACAGAUUGAUAGUUCUUUCUUGAUUCGGUGGGUGGUGGUGCAUGGCCGUUCUUAGUUGGUGGAGCGAUUUGUCUGGUUAUUCUUUUUGUUUGUUUAUUUGAAUCAAUUUUAAAAGCUACGAUAGUGAUAUUAAAUGGAUUAACCAUGAAACUAAAUAUACACAUCCCAUUAAGUCCUUGUCUUCUUUGUAUUUAUGAACUCUAUUAUACCUAUACUAGUAUAUAUUAGUUCUAUAUUAGUUCUAUUCCUAACUAAAGACCUGGGUUG